CUUCGAGGUUCCUGGGUGUCAUGUAGAUCUCGGUGGGACCUCCAAAUGAAAGAACCUAGUGGGGAAACCCCCACUCAAUUCCCAAUUCAGCGUGCACCCAAGGAAUCACGAGAGACU
rnacentral:pre_miRNA from 7 species